rnacentral:rRNA from 1 species
AUGAACGCUGGCGGCGUGCCUGAUACAUGCAAGUCGAGCGAACAGACGAGGAGCUUGCUCCUCUGACGUUAGCGGCGGACGGGUGAGUAACACGUGGAUAACCUACCUAUAAGACUGGGAUAACUUCGGGAAACCGGAGCUAAUACCGGAUAAUAUAUUGAACCGCAUGGUUCAAUAGUGAAAGACGGUUUUGCUGUCACUUAUAGAUGGAUCCGCGCCGCAUUAGCUAGUUGGUAAGGUAACGGCUUACCAAGGCAACGAUGCGUAGCCGACCUGAGAGGGUGAUCGGCCACACUGGAACUGAGACACGGUCCAGACUCCUACGGGAGGCAGCAGUAGGGAAUCUUCCGCAAUGGGCGAAAGCCUGACGGAGCAACGCCGCGUGAGUGAUGAAGGUCUUCGGAUCGUAAAACUCUGUUAUUAGGGAAGAACAAAUGUGUAAGUAACUAUGCACGUCUUGACGGUACCUAAUCAGAAAGCCACGGCUAACUACGUG